UGAGUAACCUGCCCCUCACUCUGGGAUAAGCACUGGAAACGGUGUCUAAUACCGGAUACGAGCUUCGGCCGCAUGGUCAGGAGUUGGAAAGAAUUUUGGGUGGGGGAUGGACUCGCGGCCUAUCAGCUUGUUGGUGAGGUAAUGGUUCACCAAGGCGACGACGGGUAGCCGGCCUGAGAGGGCGAUCGGCCACACUGGGACUGAGACACGGCCCAGACUCCUACGGGAGCAG
rnacentral:rRNA from 1 species